GGGGAUACCACUUUCAGUACUAAGGCAAGACUCUGGGCUGAAAAGGGCCAACAUUCAAGUUGAAUCAGCUUGGGAGGAGAGGCGUCUGGGAAGGAAACUCUCUCAGAACCAAGAUGGCACCUGUUUCCUCAGCUCGUGACUAGAAGACGAUGGUAGCGGAUCAGAAGGCAACUUGAGAAGACAAAUCUCCACACCGACUCUUCCCUGACACCAGCAGUGGACCCAGGAGGAACUAUGAGCUCUUGGCUGCCCUUCUCCUCAAGCCACUGGGGCACCAGGGCUGGCUUGGUCUUAAGACAUCUCUAGCUGUGAUGGAAAUUAAGGCAUAUCAUCCUGCCAUCAACACGUCCAGUCAAACAUUCCAUCACUAACGAGAAAGAAGACCGUGGAUACCGAAGUUAGUGAUCUCUGCCUGAAUAAAUGCACACUCUCUCACCCUCACACAAAAUAUACCAAUCCUUUCCCAAGUUCAAAGCCCACAAGGUUUCAUCCAAUAAUUACUGCAACUAGCUCAAAACCUGGGCCCUCCUGGUGAUUGCAUGAUCUCUCCAUGACCUUCAGAUAUUGGUCCAGAGGCAUAUAAUCAAAAGGUAGGUUGUCUCCAUGCCCCCCGCUCCCCAGCCAGCCACCCAUGUGCAAUAUACAAUGGGAAUGGAACAGGCAACCACAAUUAAAGGUUCCUCUUGGAAAAGAAGAAUGGAAAAUACAUAACAAUUAGGAGAUCCCACCGGGCAAGGAUUGCCAGGGUUCCCAACCUCCUAGGGGACCAAGUGCCUCAGACCAGGCGACUGGGAAAUAUUCCUUUAUCCAUUCUUCUCCGUGGACCCUGAUCUGCCUUCUGGGAGGUCCUUAUUAGCCGACUGUUCUUCAGGGCCACACGGGAAGAAGCCACUGGAGAGGAUGUUGUCCACAGUGGUGAGAGUUCAGAGGUCACAGCCUUCUUCCUUCCACUGCAGGUUAGCCAGCUCAUAGCUUGCCAUGGGAGUUGAGCAAUCUGAGAGUUGUGUAGUUCAGGCUUGCAGACUUUUUGUUAACUAAUUUCCCUCAAGAAAAUUUAGUAUAACAAU
rnacentral:lncRNA from 1 species